rnacentral:rRNA from 1 species
AUUGAACGCUGGCGGCAGGCCUAACACAUGCAAGUCGAGCGAGCGGCGGACGGGUGAGUAAUGUCUGGGAAACUGCCUGAUGGAGGGGGAUAACUACUGGAAACGGUAGCUAAUACCGCAUACCAUCAGAUGUGCCCAGAUGGGAUUAGCUAGUAGGUAGGGUAACGGCUUACCUAGGCGACGAUCCCUAGCUGGUCUGAGAGGAUGACCAGCUACACUGGAACGGAGAUCCGUGCCAGACUGCCACGGGAGCGGGCAGUGGGGAAUAGUGCGCAAGGGGCGGGGUCCUGAUGCAGCCAUGCCGCGAGUCUGAAGAAGGCAUUCGGGUUGUAAAGCACUUUUAGCGGGGAGGCGUUACCCGCAGAAGAAGCACCGGCUAACUCCGUGCCAGCAGCCGCGGUAAUAC